CGGUGGCGGUCGGUGGGAGAGCGCGAGCGGUGGCGCUCGUGGGAGAGCGCGGGCGGUGGCGCUCGUAGGAGAGCGCGGGCGGUGGCGGUCGGUGGGAGAGCGCGAGCGGUGGCGCUCGUGGGAGAGCGCGGGCGGUGGCGCUCGUGGGAGAGCGCGGGCGGUGGCGCGGGCUGAGCCGUCCUGGGACGUCACCAACCGCCGUCCGCCGGCACGUGUGGGGGUCACCAACCGCCGCCGGCCGAGAGGCAAAAUGGCGGCCGCGAUGUGCAGCUCCCGCUCUCUCGGCUGGAUGGAGCCGAGUGCUGCAGCCCCGGGGGGGGGGAGAGGAGGGCGAAACGCCGCACUCUCCUCACUCCCACAUCAUCGCGCCAUCCCCAUCAGCAGCAGCAAGAGAUACGCCUCUGGCCCCUGAAACUAAAACCCAGCCACGAAACUCUGCAGAUUGCCACUAGAAUAGGUCACUUUCCCCUCACAAAUCUCUUCGCAAUUUAUGAGGCAACUUAAAUAUGAUGUACAUUUUAAUGUAUAAAUCCACGAUCUCCAUGAUUUGAAACUGAGAAACUGCAACACCUGAACUUUGUGAUCAAUAUAACCCGCAUGAUCGAUUGAUAGCAAUCCUGCACACAUCAUACGUGGAGUGAUGAGUCCAUAGGCGGAACGACAGAGCGACUGGUUUAUGAUCUCAACCUCUGCUUGUUGAAGAACAGUAGGAUCACUGUUACCUUCAGUAUGUGCCAAUCCAUUAUACCUUUCAAAAUACUGUUUACUAAUGUUGCUGCUGCAAGAAACUAUGCCAGUGAUGUCUAAAGGGCCUGUCCCACGUGUGCGAUUGGGGCGACAGGCCGGAAGCGACGGAGGCGCGCGUCAUAAUGCAUCUCCAUGCGUCAGCACAGCUUGUGACAUCAUUUGCGCAUAUAAAGGGGGUUGCUGGCUGCUAUUCCAUGAUCAUCAAGAAAUAUAGAUUGCAUUGCUACAACAGCAACAGAGACUUCUGUUAGCAGCAGCCCUCAUGCUCACAGAUCAUCUAGGCAGGAGUACAACAAGGAAGGCUGUCAAGAAACCCAGGAAGAGGUCUGUGUGGACGAGGUCUUUGUUCCGGAUGAGACUCACUUUGGGCCAGUAUGAGACCAUGAGACAGAUCUGCAGCGGGAAGAUGAGGCUGCGUUAGAAACUUCACCAAGAUCCCCCCUGACCUGUUUCAGGAGCUAAAGACACAAGUCGGUCCUCUUCUGCAGAAAACGGACACCUUCAUGAGGAAGGCACUGGAACCAGGCCUGCGCCUGACCAUCACCCUCUGCUACCUUGCAUCAGGAGACUCCUACAAGAGCCUCUCCUACAACUUUUGUGUGACUCACAACACAAUCAGGAAGGUUGUCCGAGAGACCUGUGACGCCAUCAACAAUGCAUGUGAAGAAGAAAUGAUUGACUGCCCUAGUACACUUGAUGAGUGGAGGAGAGUGGCUUUCAAACCAGAUGGAACUUCCUGCACACAUGUGGGGCAGUUGACGGGAAGCAUGUGGCCAUCCGAUGUCCACCCAGGGGUGGUUCUAUGUACUUUAACUACAAGAAGUUCCAUUCCAUCGUGCUGUGAGCUACAACUUCCUGUUUGUGGAUGUGGGCACACCUGGCAGUGGCGCAGAUGCAGGAAUCUUGGGCAAGCAAUGGAAGAAGGGAGAGCAGGCCUUCAUGAUCCAGUACCUCUGCCGGGAGAAGACAACCCUGACAUCCCCUACGCACUGGUUGGUGAUGAUGCCUUCGCACACAGGCCAUGAUGAUAAAGCCAUACCCUCACAGGCGGAUGUCAAGGGAGCGAAGGAUCUUUAAUUCCAGGCUGUCCAGGGCUAGGAGGGACGUGGAAAAUGAUUUUGGUAUCCUUGCUAGCAGAUUCAGAUUCCUGCUGACUACAAUGGAGCAGGAGCCCAAGAAUGUGCAGACCAUUGUCUACGCGGCAUGUGUCCUCCACAACCUGAUCUGCACCAGAGGUGCAGCAGCAGCCAUGGUGGAGGGUGACACGAUGGACAAACAGACAGGAAACAUCACACCAGGUUCAUGGAGAGCUGCAAGACAGGCUGCACCAAUGGUAGCACUAGGCACAUUGCAAGGAGACACCUGCAACAAGAGAGCCAAGGAGCAGAGAGACCAUCUCUGCGCUUACUACACCUCCAAGCUGGGCAGUGUACCCUGGCAGAACCACAUGUACUGAAGAUCAGCAGGAAAACAUCCCACCCCACAAACGGAGGACCACCACUACAGGAACUGAUCUAAUAAAAGGAGGAUCUACGUAUGUUAAUGGAGGAUUUUUGUAUGUGAAACUAGUAAUAAUGUGAUGAUAAUACCUCACGCAUUGGAUUUUCAUAGAAAUGCCAUAAAUUUAAAAGCAGUUAAAUGCCUUUGUCUGCUUUAUAUGACGUUUCAUGAGACAUUUUGCAUUUCAAUGCAGUUCAAUGUCUGUGUGUGUUUUAUUUAUCUAAUAAAUCAAGGUUUUUAUAUGUGAGAUGCAUUCCAUGAUUAGACGUGGUUUCCAUAUGUGAGAUCAAUGCCAUGAUUAACAAACUGCUUUUCCCACUACACGAAAAGGUUACACUGAAGUUUAAUAAUCAAGUUGUAGGUGAACUUAUUUGAGAUAAAUACAAAGACCCAUGACUUUAUCAGAAUUAAAUUGUUUAUUUAGAGCAAGCAAACAAAUAACGUAUUGAAAAACAACAAGAAAUAAAAUUUUAAUGUGCGCUGUGGAUCGUUACAGCUGGGAAGAAAUUCGACUCCGUGGCAAGAAACGCGAUGAGUGUGGUGAGGAUUUUCAAAUCGCGCGUUUUAUUGUUGACGCGAAAAAGGCGGGCCAACUGAUUUUGGGCGGCGCACGGUGUUGCACGGUGACGUCAUCACACAAAGCCACGCGCUACACGUAUGACGUCAAGACGCCUGCGUGCG